GUCCCUGUAGCGCAAUUAAUAGCACAUUGCAUAGUGCGUUGGACUUCUAUUUCAAAGGUCGUGGGUUUGAAUCCUGCCUGGGAUG